rnacentral:rRNA from 1 species
GUCCACGCCCUAAACGAUGUCAACUGGUUGUUGGGGAAGCAAUUCCUUAGUGACGAAGCUAACGCGAGAAGUUGACCGCCUGGGGAGUACGGUCGCAAGAUUAAAACUCAAAGGAAUUGACGGGGACCCGCACAAGCGGUGGAUUAUGUGGAUUAAUUCGAUGCAACGCGAAAACCUUACCUACCCUUGACAUGUCCGGAAGUUUCCAGAGAUGGAUUCGUGCCCGAAAGGGAACCGGAACACAGGUGCUGCAUGGCUGUCGU